UGAAUGGAAAAUACGAGAAAAAAGGUAAGGCAAAGUACGGAAAUCAGUGCAACUUGUGCACGUUUGGAAAAAAACAGGUUAAAUAUGGUCAUCUCUCUCCCUUUUGAUGUUUCUUUCUUCCUUUUUCUCCUUUU
rnacentral:ribozyme from 1 species